UUCUUUAUUCGGGUAGGCUAUAUAAUGAUCUUCUAUAUCAGUUGCUCUUCAUCUGGAUCAGCUAUGGCACUGUACGUCUCUGUGAUUCUCAUCACUGUGUUCUUCUCCAAAGCACUGACAUUGACCUGUUAUAACUCUACUUAAACUUCACAAGGAUGCCCAACUACCACCUGUUCAUCUCUGUGUGGUUCUAUUAACAAAUAUACCAGUGAUAGUAAAUUUCAACCGAGAGGACUUGUUCUGACCCGUGUGCUAAUUCAAGUGUCAAUUUAGGAGAUAACAAACGAGCCUAUCCAAUGUUGUAGUGCAGAUCUAUGCAACACAGGCGCAUCUUCCCCCAAUGAGAGAAAGUGUUACACCUGCAAUGAUACAGACUGCUCAGUUACUUUGGGUUGUGUAUGAAGAAACCCAGUGCAUCAGUGCAAAUUUGCAAAACGUGACACUCAAAGGAUGUGCUAGCAAAAACCUCUGUGAGAACAGUACUUUACUGCAGUCUAUGUACAAUCUUACGGAUCCUAAAUGUUGUUCAGGCAACCUGUGUAAUGAUGGCCAGAGCAUGACCCGGAGAUUGGUCCUGCUACUGGCACCACUUCUUUACAUCAUCAUGAUCUGAGAUUAGAUCUCUUUUAGGGGGUUUUGUGAGGGUUUUAUUGAUAAAUGUAGAUGCUCUUUUAUUGUUAAUGUAACGCAGCGUAAUCUUUCAGGUUAAUCGAGGGUAAUUCUUUCAAACAUUGUUUCAAUUACCUUUCCAAUAUGAAAUGUACUAUUGUAUUUCUGAAAAAGUCAUGCAAGUUUAAAUGUACUUAUUGGUAAAUGUGUUUUUUUUUUGCAGGCUAUCAUUAUAGCUUCAAGUAUUGUAACAUGAUAUUUUUUAUGUUGUGUAUUUUUAGGUGUACAUUAUAUUGUAAAAACACAAAAGAUUCAGAAGAGAAUAUAAUAGGUUAAAGUAUAACACAAUGCAAAAGUAAACCACUGUACUUCCCAAGUGGUCAGUUAUACAGUAAAAAAGAGAAAUGAACAGUUAAUUAUUCAGUAUGAAUAGUGACAAUUCUGGGUUUUAUUAUUGUGUUUGUAUUAUGUGUUUGUUAAGAAUCAAGUAGCUAUACCAUACUUCCUAUGUUGACAGUUCCCAAACAGAAAUAAUCAGUUCCUUUAAAGAGACUAAAGUCAUAUUUGUGCUAAACCAGUAAUAGUUGACAUAUUUUGUUAACGGGAUACGCCACCCCAAAAUGUCAUCAUUUACCCACCCUCAAGUUGUUCCCAACCUGUAUCAAUGUCUUUGUUCUGUUGUACACAAAGACAGAUAUUUGGAAGAAUGUUAGCAACUGACAAUUCUGUGACAUCAUAGCAGAAAAAAUAUUACAUCAUUUUUUUCUUCUAUUGAACACAAAAAUACAUUUUGAGGAAUUUAGGGAAGCAAAUAGUUCUGGGGCACCUUUGACUAUACCAUUUAUUUAUUUUCUACUAUGGUAGGCAAUGAUGUCCCAGAAUUGAUCCAUCCCUUAUCUAACCAGUGUUUUAUGGAUGGAUACAUACAUAUAGAUAUGAGAGAACAUGCAGCACAGUUAUGAAUUUAUGAAAAAAUCAUAAUUGUCAAUUA